rnacentral:rRNA from 1 species
CACAAGCGGUGGAGCAUGUGGUUUAAUUCGAUGCAACGCGAAGAACCUUACCUGGGCUUGACAUCCCGGGAAUCCCUUGGAAACAAGGGAGUGCCUUCGGGGAACCUGGAGACAGGUGCUGCAUGGCUGUCGUCAGCUCGUGUCGUGAGAUGUAGGGUUAAGUCCCGCAACGAGCGCAACCCUUGUCUUUAAUUGCCAUCAUUGAGUUGGGCACUUUAAAGAGACUGCCGGUGUUAAACCGGAGGAAGUGGGAUGACGUCAAGUCCUCAUGGCCUUUAUGCCCAGGGCUACACACGUGCUACAAUGGGUGGUACAAAGAGCAGCCAACUCGCGAGAGCGCGCCAAUCUCAAAAAGCCAUCCUCAGUUCGGAUUGGAGUCUGCAACUCGACUCCAUGAAGUUGGAAUCGCUAGUAAUCGCGGAUCAGCACGCCGCGGUGAAUACGUUCCCGGGCCUU